rnacentral:tRNA from 1 species
CCUUUGAUGGCCGAGAUACAGGCAUUAAGCUUUUAACUUAACCACAGUUUUAACUUCAAAGGC